rnacentral:rRNA from 1 species
CUCAAUGAAAAUUCAAUAGCCGCAAUAUUUUUGUGCUAAGGUAGCAUAAUCAUUUGUCUUUUAAUUAAAGACUAGAACGAAAGAUUCUAUAUUUUUAUUUCUUUCUUAUAUAUAAAUUAUUUAAUUUAUUCUAAAUAUUAAAAAAUAUUUAUAAAAUAAAAAGACGACAAGACCCUAUUGAACUUAACUAAAGUUAAACUGGGGUAGUUAAUUAAAUAUGAUUUUAAUUUAAAUUCUAAAAAUAUCCUAAUAUAAUUAAACAAAUUAAGUUACCAUAGGGAUAACAGCGUAAUAAUUUUCUAAAGAUCUUAUAUAAAAAUUUGCUUACGACCUCGAUGUUGAAUUAAUAAUCUAUUAAAUGCAAUAAUUUAAUAAGAAAGUCUGUUCGACUU